GGCGGGGCGCGGUCGGGCCUCGGACACCUGGCAGGGAGCUAGCGGGAGGGCUUGGGGAAUCUGCAAAUGUUCACAGUUCCAAGGGACCGCGGGGGAAAUUUACACCUCCUCCCCCUACUGCUUGUGCUUCCUUUCGCUUUGAAGUUCUGUGGCUCCGCACUGGAGUUGGGGAGGCAAGUCCUCCAGCCUCGGGCUUUUAAUAUUCACAUCACGUCCUCUUUGCAGCUACUUUGGGAGGAUUGAAAGCUACAAAGGACGUUUGGGUGACCUCCCCACAACACAAGGUGGGGUGGGGGGUUUCAACCCACACUGCCCCAUCUUGAAUCGCCAUGGAUGACCAAGUAGUUGAAACACGACGGGGGACUUAGGUGCCAGUCCUUCUAGGCAGAAGGGCCCUCUUGGCCUGGAAGUGACACAGAUCAUGUCUGCUCACAUUUCAUGGACAGAAUUAGUUUUAUGGCCCCACCUAACUGCAGGGGCUGAGAAAUGUAGAGGUGCGAAUGUAACUUGUGGUGAGCGUUACUGUCUCUGCUGCAUGUCAUCAGCAUAUGGGAGGUGAUUAAAUCUGAAAGAGAAAGGACAAGAUCGAUCAAGGUAAAGCCCACAGAACGAAAAGAGAAUAGUCAAGGACAAAACCCAGGGAAUCACCUUCUAUAAGUGAAACAAGGAAGAGAGGAGCCCAAGGAUGACACCGAAAAGUGACAUGAAAAGAGUUAAGAAUUAUGAGCCAAUAGUGUUACUCGAGCCAAGGAAGUAUGUCUAUACAGAGGUGCAGAGCAGCAAAUACAGCCUGGAGGAGCAGUAGGAUAAAGACUGAAGUCUCCACUGCAUUUGACCAUCAAGAGGGGGCUGGAGAAUGUCUUAAUAGAAGUGUCUCCUUGCAGUGAAUAUUUACCCAGGUUUUUGUUCUAGAAAAAAAUGGUCAUUUCUAGAGCUGUAUGGGACAGGGCUGUGUUCCUGAGGCCAUAGCCCCCAGAAGUCUUCUGAAAGUGAUGGUGGCAAUUCAGGUAGGUAGUCUGUCUUUAGCUGACAGUAUCAUUUGAAAUGUUUAAUAAAUUUGCAAUUGAUGACUAGCUAACGGGGUGAGAUAAGACCUGUAAAAGUACAGACCCUGAGAAUUGAAAGAAACCGUAAGCUGUGUAAACUGAAAUGAAAAGUGAUGUUUACCUAUUAUUCAUUAGUAUUCUUAUAGAGUGGCAAUAUCAUAACUUGGGAAGUUUACCUAAAGUGCAGUUAUUAUUACACUUGAUUUUAGCCAAAAGGCCG
rnacentral:lncRNA from 1 species